rnacentral:lncRNA from 1 species
CCAACUAUAAAUUUUGAAAGUGUAGAUAGAUUUUUUUUAAAGAUAGGAGAGAUACAUAAACACAAUCUUUAGCCAGGGAAAAACAUUUUCCUCGAGUCCUAAGCCCUAACAAAUGGAGUUAAGUCAAAAACAAACUGAUUACAAACCAACAUAACUGAAUUGAAUCACUAUCUAAAGCCCAACAAUGGAAGAUCAUUCUAGUACCACCAAGCUUUACUCCAUGCAACUUCGAGAGAGAGAGAGUAACCAAGUACCACAAAUAUAACAGACUCCUCCAAUAGUGAAUAAGCACAGUCAGUUUAAACCAUGAACUUAAAGAUUCUAAACACCCGGAAUGGCUGAACAAUUGCAGGAACAUGAACCAUGAUCAAUCAUCCGGAAGACGCAAUAUCAAUAAGGAAUGACUUGGCCAAUAAGAAAGCCAAUCUCUUGAGAAGAGACAUGGAGCGAGCCGAUCCAAAACCAUGCCAAUCUCAUCUCGAGAAGCAAGACUUGAAAGGAAACGAAAAUUGACUGAAUCAAAAGAGACCAACAAUGGAGAAAGGAAACUUGAACCCGGGAAUAAAAAUCCAUUAGAUGGAUAGAACACAAAAUCUGCAGAAGAUGGAAUCAAUCAGAGGAGAGAUUUCGGCCAGGAAGAAGGGGAAAAACAGAACCACCCCAAACUGCUGGCCAGAUCUAAGAUUAGAUCUACACCGAUGAUCAAGAUGAUCCGGAGCCACAUGCAGCAGAUCCAUCGAGAAGACAACAAGAUUAAAAGAAAGCCUCCUCAAACAGAUACAUCUCUCAGACUGCCAAAUACAGAUCGGAGGUUGAAAGAUGAAGAGAAGGGGAGGAGAGAAAGAAAGAGAGAGAGAGGAGAACCCCGCAAUUUUUUUUUUUUUUUUUUUUUUUUUU